rnacentral:rRNA from 1 species
AUUGAACGCUGGCGGCAUGCCUUACACAUGCAAGUCGAACGGCAGCGCGGGAGCAAUCCUGGCGGCGAGUGGCGAACGGGUGAGUAAUACAUCGGAACGUGCCCAAUCGUGGGGGAUAACGCAGCGAAAGCUGUGCUAAUACCGCAUACGAUCUACGGAUGAAAGCAGGGGAUCGCAAGACCUUGCGCGAAUGGAGCGGCCGAUGGCAGAUUAGGUAGUUGGUGAGGUAAAGGCUCACCAAGCCUUCGAUCUGUAGCUGGUCUGAGAGGACGACCAGCCACACUGGGACUGAGACACGGCCCAGACCCCUACGGGAGGCAGCAGUGGGGAAUUUUGGACAAUGGGCGAAAGCCUGAUCCAGCCAUGCCGCGUGCAGGAUGAAGGCCUUCGGGUUGUAAACUGCUUUUGUACGGAACGAAACGGUCUUUUCUAAUAAAGAAGGCUAAUGACGGUACCGUAAGAAUAAGCACCGGCUAACUACGUG